ensembl:lncRNA
GCGACCAACCGCAGUAAGCAUUUCCAGAGGCAGAGAGGGAGCGCUCCUUAGGUGACUGCUGUGUCUCUCAGCCUUUUGCUGAUUUUGUCCUGCAUACAGACUAUUGCCUCAAUUCCCCACAGUCCAGCUGUGACCAGCUGCCACCUGUGCCAAAUGCGCAGGAGUGACAGUGAAGAAUAUCUUGUAUCUGCUCAGGAACCAGACCUGACUUCAUUCUGGUUUCACUACCAGACGCCCUGUCCGGCCAGCCAACUCCGCGGCUGGGCUCUGCUGCAGCUCUCUGGGGAAGAUUGGAAUUCGAGAUGUCUCUUGAUCAUCCCACCAUCACUGUUUAAGUUCUUAUUUAUUCCGUGGAACUGCAGCACCACCAAUCCAGGUUUCCUCCUGACUCUUGGUGGAUCCGCGGCUCCAGCUGCUUCUUAACGGACUUCAGUGUGAGUUGGAGGUUGGGUCUGCCUGCUUCUCCUGCAAACCUGAGGCCACAAGCUUAUCUCCUGGGAAGUCCCAUCCCUCUUUUGCGUCCAGCAUCGAUCUCUUUUAGAACAAGAGCUCAGAAAUGAGAGGGCAGAGAGUACGACUGUGUUUUUAUUUGAAUUUAAUAUACGCCUCAGCACUUCCUCGGGGGAGAAUAUCAGCUUUAAAAUGCCCGGAAAGGUACACAGUUUUUCUAAAUUCCUUCAGAGCGUUCAUGAGCCAAGUUGUGUGAGGACCGAUAUCUAGAAGCAACUGAGCAAAGGAUCUGAGCUUCUCCAUCUCACAGACUGAUGCCCUAACCAGGAUGUAACGGCAGGAUGCUCUCAGUCCACUCAUAAUCCUGACAGCUACCAUAAGAGAAUAAGGGUGAGAAGAGAAGCGUUUAACCGAGACGACAAAAAGAAACUUCUCUUUGAAGUGGUUGCCCCUCCCCUCAAAGGAUUCAUUCAUUAAAUUCCUGAGCCCGAGGCAACUUUGGACGUGUUCUAUAUUUUUAAUUGUCUUCUGUGGUGUUUAAAUGUUUCCUGUCUUAGAGAGAAAAAAAACAAAAAGGGAGCGCCUUCUAGGGGCAGGAGAGAGAAAUCGUAU